rnacentral:rRNA from 1 species
UACGUAGGGCGCAAGCGUUGUCCGGAAUUAUUGGGCGUAAAUAGCUCGUAGGCGGCUUGUCACGUCGGAUGUGAAAGCCCGGGGCUUAACUCCGGGUCUGCAUUCGAUACGGGCAGGCUGGAGUUCGGUAGGGGAGACUGGAAUUCCUGGUGUAGCGGUGAAAUGCGCAGAUAUCAGGAGGAACACCGGUGGCGAAGGCGGGUCUCUGGGCCGAUACUGACGCUGAGGAG